rnacentral:rRNA from 1 species
GAAUAUUGCGCAAUGGGGGAAACCCUGACGCAGCGACGCCGCGUGGGUGAUGAAGGCCUCCGGGUCGUAAAGACCUGUCGGAGGGGAAGAAGGACUGUCGUGCGAAUAGUUCGAUGGUCGGACGGUACCCUUAGAGGAAGCACCGGCCAACUCCGUCCCAGCAGCCGCGGUAAUACGGAGGGUGCAAGCGUUGCUCGGAAUUACUGGGCGUAAAGGGCGUGUAGGCGGUUUCGUAUGUCUGGCGUGAAAGCCCCGGGCUCACCCCGGGAAGUGCGCUGGAAACUGCGAGACUAGAGUCCCGGAGAGGGAGGUGGAAUUCCAGGUGUAGCGGUGAAAUGCGUAGAUAUCUGGAAGAACACCGGUGGCGAAGGCGGCCUCCUGGACGGUGACUGACGCUGAGACGCGAAAGCGUGGGGAGCAAACAGG